ACCCACCGCCACUACUCAUCCAGUCGCCCGCCCCUCGGCAAAAAAGAAGGAAAAAAAGAGUGACCUCCCAUUCAUCGGCGAUUGAGGAUGCUGCUUCGAUCCGGGCGUGCGACGCUCUUCAUCGGGCCACGCCAUCGCAGCGGUGGAUCUACCUCAAGCUGCGGCUCCAAUCAGGUGGCGAGCCGUCGUCUAUCCCUUAAGCGCAAGCGUUCGGUCGAGGCUAACCUCCAUCGCUAGAUCGCCAUGCAGGCGCCCACCCCAGGUCGCUGAGCAGGUCCCGCUGCUCUCAUCCGUGACUAGUGUCUCUCGGGAGGAGGGCACCAACAAUCGGGAUGAUAGCUCUGAUGAAACAUCAGUUGCAGAGUUAGCCGUUAAAUUGUUCCCUCAUCUCCCAUGAGACAACGUUGCUGCUAUGUGGGUUGGGUUGGUCAAUAAUGCAAAGACUUGCCUCAAUCAUUACAAAAGCUCAUUCAUCUUAGUCUAGCUGUCUAGCACAGUGCAACUAUUCUUUUUUUUUCAAUUAGGGAAUUUUUACUCAUUCCGUAAUUGCAUCCUCAUUGAGUCA